rnacentral:tRNA from 1 species
GGUGGUUCAGUGGUAGAAUGUUCGCCUGCCACGCGGACGGAUCGGGUUCGACUCCCGGAUCCA